AACAAAAACAUGGCCUUUAGGGAGGAAUUUAAGGUCGGGCCUGCCCACUGAAGUAGUUGAAGGGCCGCGGUAUUUUGACCGUGCAAAGGUAGCAUAAUCAUUAGUCUUUUAAUUGAGGGCUGGAAUGAAUGGUUUGACGAAAUAUUGACUGUCUCUUUAUAAUAAAUAGAAUUUAACUUUUGAGUCAAAAGGCUUAAAUGAAUAUAAAAGACGAGAAGACCCUAUAGAUCUUUAUAUAGUUCUAUAAUUGCUUUAUUUAGUUGUUUUAUUUACGAUUAUUUAACUAUAUUUUGUUGGGGUGACAUGAAGAUAAAAAUAACUCUUUAUAAUAAGAACAUUGAUUUAUGGAUGAUUGAUCCGUUAUUAGCGAUUAUAAGAUAAAGUUACCUUAGGGAUAACAGCGUAAUUUUUUUUGAGAGUUCUUAUCGACAAGAAAGAUUGCGACCUCGAUGUUGGAUUAAGGAAUAUGAUUAGGUGUAGCAGUUUAAUUAAUAAGUCUGUUCGACUUUUAAAUCCUUACGUCAUCUGAGUUCAGACCCGGAA
rnacentral:rRNA from 1 species